GAGCAGAUUGUGGGGCUUGGAGAUAACACCUUCCAAGAACAAACAGAAGAUGAAACUGGCGUGGAUAUUCACCAGGAACCAGUUCAUCCUACUAGUAAUGUUGUCGCUCAAGAACCCCCAGAGCAGAACAGACAACAAACUUACAUCUUUG